CGGGGGUGCAUUGUAGUUGCAUUGCAUGUGUGGCCAAGCUGUGCAAUGCCCCUCCAGUGCAGCCCUG
rnacentral:pre_miRNA from 11 species